GAUGCACAUUACACAUCGUUUCAAAUUCAUUUCGUUUUCGGUUUUAAUGUGAAUUAGAUGCAUCAAAUAGAAGUAGUGAGCAAAAAAUGGAAGUGGCUAAUUUGUUGAAGGAAUGGAAUUUGGAACUUCUGAUUCGGAAUUUGAAGAUAGGUAAUAUCUUUACGGAAUAUUAAAAUUUCUUCUUGUGAAUAUAUUAUCUGGCUAGAAAAUAGUAGCGACCCAUGACCGGAAAUAGAAGAAAAAUGGAGAAAAACUUACUUGUUACGUCAGGGUCGGUUAAUAGAAGAUUAUUGUACCAUAAUGGAAUAUAUGGGAAAAUUUCCUUCCCUGAAACAACCACUAGCUCGAACGUGAUUUCGACUUACUUUAUCGUUGAGAACGCAACAAAAAUGUCCUCUGAUUGGGCAGUAUUUUCUAGUCAAAUAAUAAAUUACGCAAAAACAUUAAAACAACAGGAAAUCGGAAAUCAGAACAAACCUGGGUACUGAUUCAAAAAGAACUCUAUAAUCUGUGUACAAAGUGGGAUAAUCAUUGAUCAGUCGAUAAUGGCUAUUUGUUGUAUGUCCACUGCUGAUGGGACGUUAUUUGUCUCACUUCGGAUCAGUGUCAAAUAAACAUGUUUAAUCAUUUAUAUUUAAGUUUUUUUUUCAAUUGUU